GCGGGCUCUUAAAGGGGCCGCGCAUGUGAUUUUCUGUUUCGGAAGCGCCAGAGAAGGGCGGUUGGACGUGCGAGGCGCGAGGACUGGAAGAAUAUUAAAGAAACAGAAGAGGCCACACCAAUACAGAGUCCAAGAAGAGAAGAAAAAACAAAGGGGAUGAAAAAUAAAAGGUCACUAACUUCAAACCUUCUUCAACAUAAAGCAUUGAGGAUACUGCUGUUUGGCUCUCCAAAGUUCAAGAUG